AGGUUGGAUCCCUUAGUAUCGACUAGCAGUGGGCUGGAAUUGGCCCUUAUAAGUGACCCUGCGGAAGGAUCAUUACCGAGCGAGGGAUCUAUGGGUCCAACCUCCCACCCGUGUUUAUUAUACCUUGUUGCUUCGGCGGGCCCGCCGUAUGGCCGCCGGGGGGCUUCUGCCCCCGGGCCCGCGCCCGCCGAAGACAUCUCGAACUCUGUCUGAAGAUUGUAGUCUGAGUAAAAAUAUAAAUUAUUUAAAACUUUCAACAACGGAUCUCUUGGUUCCGGCAUCGAUGAAGAACGCAGCGAAAUGCGAUACGUAAUGUGAAUUGCAAAAUUCAGUGAAUCAUCGAGUCUUUGAACGCACAUUGCGCCCUCUGGUAUUCCGGAGGGCAUGCCUGUCCGAGCGUCAUUGCUGCCCUCAAGCACGGCUUGUGUGUUGGGCUCCGUCCUCCGAUCCCGGGGGACGGGCCCGAAAGGCAGCGGCGGCACCGCGUCCGGUCCUCGAGCGUAUGGGGCUUUGUCACCCGCUCUGUAGGCCCGGCCGGCGCUUGCCGAUCAACCAAAUUUUUAUCCAGGUUGACCUCGGAUCAGGUAGGGAUACCCGCAGAACUUAAGCAUAUCAAUAAGCGGAGGA
rnacentral:rRNA from 1 species